AACCAGGCAGAGUGCCAUAUACAUGUGAUACAUGGGGGGUUUCAGAUUUUAUCUAUAAUUGGCCUAGUAGAAGCAAUAAAUGAAUACUGCUCAAAAAAUAAUUUUGAGUGGGAAAAUAUGAGUGGUUGCCAUGGUAACGGACACACAAUUUUUUGCUUGUUAAGCGUAGUAAAAUCUUUCAAAAAUCAGCUAAAUCACCACAUUUCAGAGCCUGAUUAUGAAUAGAAUCAUGCAUUUUUCAUUAAUUUUCAUAUGUAACAUUGAUAGAACUUG
rnacentral:lncRNA from 1 species